GUCCCAUCCAACAUCUAAUCCUUAGGCGCUGACAUCCCCUGCAAAGUGACCCUCUCUCCAUGCCAUGUGAAGCUCAUCACCAAGCUAGAGAAAUCCCACAAAAUAAUUUCUGAGUGUUUACAACCAAAUAGCACCAAAGAUGGUGACUGCUCGACAGAACCCUCCACUGAGAAGAGUCUCCCCAUUGGCCACGAGCAUCUUCAUCUUCUCAGUCGGUGCCAGUGCGACGCCCCACCCAUCGGGCUGCGGCAGAGCUAAUGAAAUUGUGCGUGCUCCCACUGUCAACGAGAAACACGAUCUUGCAGCACCCCAAUUCUCCCUUCAACCGCGUCGUGCGAGGCCCUCGGGUUCCAGUGAUGGCAUGUAGAGAAAUUGCAGCUUGCCCCCCUUCAUGAAAUUCAGGGUCAUCAUUGCCGCCCUCCUCAAUGGAGAUUCUUCCUUCAUCAUCCUCCAGUUCCAGCCAAAACAAUUUGGCACAUCUAUGGCCAGGUUAGUGUUGGCGAUGACAUGGGUGGCAAUUUAAGGGGUAUUUUGGUCUCUGGCGCAUUAUUGCGUCGUUCGGCUUGAUGUUUGGCUUCGUACAGCUGCGCCAAGCCUAUUGCGGCGAUAAGGUUCGUGGGGUGGCCUGCUUGCACCUCUGGCCGAAUGGUGUCCUUCAGCCCACUGAUGAAACAACCCAGUUGGUGUUCUGUGGAUAGUCGUCCAACACGACUUAACAGCCUUUCAAAUUGUGCUUGGCAGCUCGUGGGGCGGCCUGCUUGCACCUCUGGCUGAAUGGUGUCCUUCAGCCCACUGAUGAAACACCCCAGUUGGUGUUCUGUGGAGAGUCGCCCAACACGACUUAACAACCUUUCAAAUUGUGCUUGGUAGUCCCUCAUUGACCCAUUCUGUUUGAGCUUAGACAAAUCACCAAAGAAAUCCUCAAACAUUGUUGGUCCGUACAUGGCAUGGAGGCCUUCCUUCCAGGCUUCCUAGAUGACCGUUGUUGUCUGGCCUUCCAUGAAUAAUUGGUACCAUAGCUGGGCAUUGUCAUCAAGGUGGUAAGCGGCUAAGGGCAGCCUCUCCUCCUUUUUUUCCACCAGAACGUGGGAAGUCAAUCUUAGCCACUUUUGGGGUCAUAGACCCAUUGGUGCAGGACCAGUUCGAGUCAUUUGUGGUCCUCUCCUGCGAUUAGUAGUGGCAACGAUGUCCUCACUUACACCUCCUGGAAAACCUAAAAGAGACAAGAGCCAUCAAGUCUACGAAAGUCAGGAGACUCAUUGACUUCACAAGCAUCCACGGCUGCUGUUAGUAGGAAACGUGGGGCUCAACCUUGCUCCAGAUAUUAAGCCUACACUCUUGCAUAUUAUAUUACUUUGUAGAUAACGUGUUUGUUAUUUGUAAGCUACUAAUAGCACUAUACUUCAUUAGACUUUCCUGUUGCUCUUCA